rnacentral:misc_RNA from 1 species
CUUUGUGCCAUUGUCUCACAAGCACCUUACCUUCUUUCACUCUAAUUUAACGGGCACCAACCGAACGACGAGUGACUAACCGUAAAGUAACAGUUAAAUCACAGAGAACACUGUGACCUAUUUUAACACUGUGCCUGUGUGGGUAUCUAAGAAUUAUUUAUAGACUUUCAUAGAAUGACUCCUUGAAGAUACAGUGAUGUCUUUCUUAUUGGAAUCUAAAACAUCGGAUGACAUUGCCAGAAGAACUUCUAAUACACCAUUAUCACCAUCAUCAUUUCAAGGUUAACGGAAGAUAUUCUACGAAACAAAUAAAAACCCCAUUUACAUAAAUCUGCGAAGAAUUACUGUGAAAUAUUUCUUCUGAACAGGAAUUACUGGAGAAAUUUCUCAGCUUCACUGUCUGGAAUAUGUACCAGAUGAUUCUGUAUUUUAAAUAAUCUUGGACAAGUUUAUAUAGGAGUACACCGCAUUGUUGUAUAGCUACGAAGACCUCAUUUGAAGAAAUUCUAGCUGAGACAUAUUCUUUGUGAUUAAAAAAUAAAGAAGGAAAAAUACCGUUAAUAUCCAUGUGAUAUUUGUAGUAAUGCCAGUAGACCUAUCAACUAUUGGUAUCUUUGUUGAUAAAGAUAUAUAUUUAAACGAUACUUUGAAAAGCACGAAUUGUAAGAAUUAUAUAAAAAUUAAUUUUGUGAGAAGUUGAAAAAAAAUUGAUGUAUUUUUCUUGAAGAAUUCUGAAAAUGACAGAAAAUUCCUAUAACUGUGAUGUCUGUCACAAGUCGUUCUCUCAAAAAUCUAAUCUGAAAACUCACGUACUCAUUCAUACUGGAGAGAAACCCUUUCGCUGUGAUAUCUGUGGUAAAUCGUUUGCUGGGGGUAGUAACUUGACUAAACACAAACGUACACACACAGGAGAAAAACCAUAUCAGUGUGAUAUCUGCGGAAAAUCAUUCUCCGUAAAUCACAACUUGACUUCUCACAAACUCAUUCACACGGGAGAGAAACCAUAUCACUGUGACAUCUGUGGUAAAUCUUUCUCUCAAAACAGUCUCUUAACUUACCACAAACGCAUUCAUACGGGAGAGAGGGCUCAUCGCUGUGAUAUCUGUGGUAAAAUAUUUUCUGAAAGUGGGGCUUUAACAAGACACAAACGUACUCAUACAGGGGACAAACCAUAUGACUGUGAUAUCUGCGGUAGUGCUUUCUCUCAAAGUGAUUUCUUGACAAGACACAAACGUAUUCAUACGGGUGAGAAACCAUAUCACUGCGAUAUCUGUGGUAAAUCAUUCUCUGAAAGUGGUGCUUUAACAAGACACAAUCGCACUCAUACCGGGGACAAACCGUAUCACUGUGAUGUCUGUGGUAGAACGUUCUCUCAAAUAGAUUUCUUAGUAAGACACAGACGCAUUCAUACAGGGGAGAAGCCAUACCAUUGUGAUAUUUGUGGUAAAUUGUUUGCUGGGUGUAGCGAUUUGACCAGACACAAACGCAUUCAUACCGGGGACAAACCAUAUCACUGUGAUAUCUGUGGUAAAGCAGUUGCUAGAAGCAGUGACUUGACCAGACAUAAACGUACUCAUACAGGAGAGAGGCCAUAUCACUGUGAUAUCUGUGGUAAAUAUUUCUCGCAAGCAGGAGGCUUAUCCAGGCACAAAUGCAUUCACACAGGAUAGAAAUGAUAUCAUUAUGAUGUUUCUGGUGAAUUCUUUUCUUCUGGGGUUGUCUUAAAUAAACAAAAACACAUUUAUACAGCUAAGAAACCACAUCUCUUUUACUCUUUUACUUGUUUCAGUCAUUUGACUGUGGCCAUGCUGGAGCACCGCCUUUA